rnacentral:rRNA from 1 species
GACGAACGCUGGCGGCGUGCCUAAUACAUGCAAGUAGAACGCCGUUGCGAACGGGUGAGUAACACGUAGGUAACUGCCUCAAAGCAGGGGAUAAAUAUUUGGAACGAUAAAUAAUACCUCAUACUGUGAGAUGGACCUGCGUUGUAUUAGCUAGUUGGUGGGGUAAAGGCUCAACAAGGCGACGAUACAUAGCCGACCUGUGAGGAGUAUCGGCCACACUGGGACUGAGACACGGCCCAGACUCCUACGGGAGGCAGCAGGAGGGAAUCUUGGGCAAUGGACGGAAGUCUGACCGAGCAACGCCGCGUGAGUGAAGAAGGUCUGCGGAUCGUAAAGCUCUGUUGUUAGAGAAGCUGUACCUAACCAGAAAGGGACGGCUACACACGUGCCAGCAGCCGCGGGAAAC